GGAAGAAGAAGUGAAAUUUUAUUCAAAUAGUACUUAAACGAGUCCAGUGUACAAAAUAUCAAAUAUUCCCUCAACUUAGCAGUUGAAACUCUAAUUGGCCCUCAGCUAAAUAGUUGGAAAGAAAUACAAUUCUCAAUUUCAUGCCUAACACUCUCACUAUCUUCUACUAUAUAUAACAUUGCUGCUAUUGCCUUCACAUGCAUUCUACAAAUUCUCUCCGAUAGAAUUGGUCUCAGCUGGUUGAUAACUUCCAUCCCUUCUAACGGCUUCUUGAUUCUUGUAGAAUAAACCACCCAACUCUUCCUUUAGCCUUAGGCUGAUAAUUUUCAUUUUGGGUAUGAUUGCAAUUGAGUCCCUCCACUUCCCUCGAUGGCACAAAAUAGUCUUUCAACAAACCACCAUCUGGAAUUUCUGUUGUUAACUUUUCCUCAGGUUUUUCCUUCAAGCUAGAUUCACAGUUGAGCAUCCAAAUCACCUCAUUGUCUAUCCAGUCAAGUAGUUGAAUAGACGGAGAUAACUAAAAUUGAAUGGAUAUGAAUCUGUGCAAUUGCCUUCUCCAUUACAAUGGCAAGAAAAUUUUCAAAAAUGAAAUCCCAAAUUAUCGAAACAAAAUGUUUCUGCCGAAUAGAAAGUUUGGCACCACAACAAUUAUUAAAAUUGUGAAGAAUUUCAAGUAUUGAAAACAUGAUGGAAGCCCAGGCAAAAUAAGGAAACAGAUAAACUAUCAAAGUGUAUAACCUGAACCCGAGACCCAUUGAGGAUGCAAUACCAAGGGUAAUCCUCCACAGUUUAAAUCGCAAGCCAUAGGAAUAUUCCCCAGUGUGUAUACUUCCCUCAAUAAGAAUUUUAAAGGAUCAUAGCAACAUAUAUCAAUGCAUCACUUAUUUUUGAAAGAAUUAAAGAAAUCUGACCUUCUUGGUCCAUAGGAAGAUGGCUUGUUGCCACCAAAAUAACACAAAUUUCAGAAUGGAUUGCCUCAAACUUCUCCCGUCGGCAUUAAUAGCACAAUGACAUUUUA
rnacentral:misc_RNA from 1 species